UGCCACUGAAUCAAAAAUCUUAUCAACAAAUCCAUCCAAUCAACCCAACUCCACAUCCCUAUACACGUAUUAGUUUGAAAGUCACUGUGCUAAUAUCAAAGAAAUAUAUCAAAUAAAAGAAAUUAUUUAAAUUGCUUAAAUUCAAAGAAAUGUACAACCUAUUUCUCAACUUGGGACAUAUUUUCAAGUCCACAAAGUUUAUCAUACAUGCAGAGACUGGGUAGUUCAUUUAGGGUUGCCGCUGGUUGCUGGUCGGGUACCCGUUAUGCGGGAACCCUACGGGUAAUUGGAACUACCCGCGUGGGUAACGCGUAUUUCAGUUUUUGAUAGGACAUGUAGCAAUUUCUUAGUUAAUAAACGAUUUGUGAAACUAGUGUGUUUUGUUAAAUUUUUGGUGUCAUUAUGCUAGAUAAAUAUUUGCACUCAAUUUAAGCACAAACAAAUGUAUGUAUUGUAUCUUUAAAGUCAUAAGUGAUGAAAAAAUUGUGUGUUCCAACUAUUCCAACUGGGUAAAAAUAUAAAGAAAGAUCAGUAAUGACAUAUAAAAUAAAUAAAUGUUAGGUUGCCGGUGAGAUGAGACGAUCUCAUCUCACCUCAUCUUACGAUAAAUGAGAUGAGAUGCAACUUUGAUUAUCCCAUUUAAGUUCCAUACCAUUUCACCAAGUAGGUAGAUUAGAUGAGCCGUAUCUCGUCUCAUCCCAUUAACGGCACACCUUAAUAUAUAUUUCAUUGUACAAUUAAAGCAUAAACAAGUUCAUACAAAUAAAAUUAUCACGUUGCAAGACGAUUAAAAUUCCUACUUAUAGAAAAAUUAUGUAAAUAUUUUCUCGAUAGAAGAAAAUUGACUGCAGAUGCCACCUCAUUUUUUUACUUUUUGUUAACGAUAAAUGGAAUCUGCAUUAUAGGUUUAUUAUAUUAUGAUUUUGAGAUAUUAGGAUUCUGGGAUUUUGAAAUUCUCAGAUUUUAAAAUGUAGCAAUUUUAAUAUUACAGUAAAAUUUGAUUUUCAAAUUGGGUUUUCUUAGUUAAGUUAUGUAUUGUGAUUCAAAUUUGAGAGAGUGGUGUGCGAGUGACACUUCAAUAAUAAUAAAGGAAUGUGACGUAAAUUUA